rnacentral:rRNA from 1 species
AUUGAACGCUGGCGGCAGGCCUAACACAUGCAAGUCGAACGGUAGCACAGAGAGCUUGCUCUUGGGUGACGAGUGGCGGACGGGUGAGUAAUGUCUGGGAAACUGCCCGAUGGAGGGGGAUAACUACUGGAAACGGUAGCUAAUACCGCAUAACGUCGCAAGACCAAAGUGGGGGACCUUCGGGCCUCACACCAUCGGAUGUGCCCAGAUGGGAUUAGCUAGUAGGUGGGGUAACGGCUCACC